rnacentral:rRNA from 1 species
GGCUUAUUGAUUAUAAUUUUAGGUCUGGCCUGCCCUCUGAAGGAUUGAAUGGCCGCGGUAUUUUGACCGUGCAAAGGUAGCAUAAUCAUUAGUUUUUUAAUUGAAAGCUGGUAUGAAGGGUUUAAUGAAAGAGUAACUGUCUCUAGUAUAGUUAGUUAAAAUUUUAUUUUUAAGUAAAAAAGCUUAAAUUUUUAUAUAAGACGAGAAGACCCUAUAGAGUUUUAUAAAUAAUUCCAGUUCUUGAAUUUGGGUUGGUAUUUUAGAUAUUGUUUUUAUUUAUUUUAUUGGGGUGAUGGGAAAAUUAGUUUAACUUUUCUUGAUUAUAAUACUGAUUUGUAGAUUUAUGAUCCUAGGACUAGAUUGUAAGAUUAAAUUACCUUAGGGAUAACAGCGUGAUUUUUUUUAGAGUUCUUAUCGAAAAAAUAGAUUGCGACCUCGAUGUUGGAUUAAAAUUGAUCGUUGGUGAAGAAGCUGAUGAGCUAGGUCUGUUCGACCUUUAAAAUUUUACAUGAUCUGAGUUUAGACCGGUGUGAG